rnacentral:rRNA from 1 species
UACGUAGGGUGCGAGCGUUGUCCGGAAUUAUUGGGCGUAAAGAGCUUGUAGGCGGUUUGUCGCGUCUGCUGUGAAAAUCCGGGGCUCAACCCCGGACUUGCAGUGGGUACGGGCAGACUAGAGUGUGGUAGGGGAGACUGGAAUUCCUGGUGUAGCGGUGAAAUGCGCAGAUAUCAGGAGGAACACCAAUAGCGAAGGCAGCUCGCUGGGACGGUACUGACACUGAGGCGCGAAAGCGUGGGGAGCGAACAGG